GACGAACGCUGGCGGCGUGCUUAACACAUGCAAGUCGAACGGAAAGGCUCCAGCUUGCUGGAGUACUCGAGUGGCGAACGGGUGAGUAACACGUGGGUGAUCUGCCCUGCACUUCGGGAUAAGCCUGGGAAACUGGGUCUAAUACCGGAUAGGACCGCACUUUGGUGUGUGUGGUGGAAAGGUUUUUCUGGUGUGGGAUGAGCUCGCGGCCUAUCAGUUUGUUGGUGGGGUAAUGGCCUACCAAGACGGCGACGGGUAGCCGGCCUGAGAGGGUGGACGGUCACAUUGGGACUGAGAUACGGCCCAGACUCCUACGGGAGGCAGCAGUGGGGAAUAUUGCACAAUGGGGGAAACCCUGAUGCAGCGACGCCGCGUGGGGGAUGAAGGCCUUCGGGUUAUAAACUCCUUUCGCUAGGGACGAAGCUUUUUGUGACGGUACCUGGAGAAGAAGCACCGGCUAACUACGUG
rnacentral:rRNA from 1 species